GGGUGGAGAAUGCGUGGACGUUUGAGCGUGGCCUACUUACACUUCCUCAACCAAUCGCACUCAAGAGGUUGACAGCCUCACGUGAGAUGAACGAGGCCGUGGUGAAUGAAGCUUUAUGACAAUCCCUGAGGUCAGAGUGUGCAGAUUUUCGUGAGAGGAUGUCCGAGCACCAGAGCAACGCAGAGGCUGACAGCCAGGAUCUGAUUGUCACGCAGCAAGACUGAAGGCCUGCUGAUGCUCUUCACCAUACUGAGUACAAUCAAUCACAGAGAUGUGGUUUGUAUCAUUGUCACUGUAUGCUAUUGCUGUUGGUAUUGCUUUAAGCAGAGGAUACUCCCAAAGAAAUAUUAAACAUUGGUGAAUUUAAUAUAGGCACAGAUAUGAGGAAUGGCCACCCAAGACUGAAAACUCACCAAUGGACUCCCACCAUUAGGGAUGCGUUUUGUUGCAUUUUUACUUGUCCAGAAUUACAUUGCUUUUCGUGGUGUAACGCUUCUCAAGAGCCGCAAGACACCAAGGAAACAUUUCACCUGCGCGCAAAUACACAGGCAGGGCGCGAUUAUCGUUUUACAGGGUGUUUCUGUGUACUGUUCAAGUAGGGACAAGAAGUCACUACAGUGGUUUCACUGCAUGUGAACUCCAGAGAAGUUUAAACUAGCAGAUGAGCUAAUGAUUACAAGUCAGUGAACUAUAACAGACUGAAGGUCAAUUUUCAACUCAUUUAACUGUCUCACAUCUGACUGUAUGCAUGUAACAAUGUUUAGUUAUAAUCAGCAUAUCCGCCAUCAUCGAUGUAGCAGAUCUGUCCAUGAUGCCUGCUCCAUACACGUUCAGUGUUACUAUGCGCAACCCCAAAAUGACCUCUGGUCCCACCCUGGCCACCCCAAUGAAUAUUCUCUGGCUCUGCCACUGAUUGCCUCUCUGCCUGUGAACAUCACCAGAGGCUUCUCUUAUAUUCUCCCAGAUAAUUAUGUUCACAGAAAGAAAAGAUGGCAGUGUGUGUGUUUUAUUGUUGAAUAGUACUGGUGUCCACCUACUGUGUGACGUUUUGUUCAUCUGAUCGGCUCAUAUUGGCUGCGAAAGACAGACUGAUUGCUUGUUUGUUAUUUUUAAGAUUCAUGUACAGUGGAACCUCUAUAAAACAGACUCCGAUAUAACGGACCAUCGGGAUUGGAGCCUGGCUAAGAUGUCGCAUCUUACAAAACGGCAUACAGAACACAAGAUGAGACCAGCCAUCUCAUUGAAGAGAAAAACAUGCGUAGGGCUCCCAUUAAUUACAACAGCUACAUUUAGUCUGUACGGUGAGUUGUAUAUUUAAUCAUUUGUUGUUAUUAAUUUCUAUGUCGGUCUGUUAAAAAACUGGUCCAUGGUGUAAGAAAGGUUUGGGACUGCUGCCCAUUGGGGAAGAGGAAGAAAAACAUCAGUAUGAUUGCAACACUCAAUAUAAAAUAAAGAAAGAGAUUUAUGUAGAGCCCUCUGGCUCAAAGAGGUAAAGAGUUCAGGUCACCUUUGAGGUUUAACCUGCAUCUGGUGGAGGGUUUAAGGUACUAUUCCUGGAUGCAUUGUGUGUGUGUGUGUGUGUGUGUGUGUGUCUGAGACUCCAACAGAGGAAGAAGGGUGUUGUUAGUUCUGCUGGGUCUAGUUGCAGUGUUCUUACUCACGUCCAUAUUUCAUAUCUGCACCUUUCAAACAAAAGACUAUGUUGAUAUAAUCUGCCGGCCAGUCAGAGGAAAUGAGUGUUUGUAUGCUCACAAACGUUGUUUCUGUUUCUCUUUUGGUGUGAUCCUGUUUUUCCAUUAAUCUCAUUAAAGUGUCCUGCUUCAUUUAUUAACAUAACCACACAUCUAUUUGUUCAAGACUUCACUGGGAGAAGUCAAGUCAUGACCUGCCAUUCAAUGGACGAGAUUCAUUUGUUUCCAUUGAACAGUGUCC